rnacentral:rRNA from 1 species
AUUGAACGCUGGCGGCAGGCUUAACACAUGCAAGUCGAGCGAGCGGCGGACGUGUGUGUAAUGUCUGGGAACCUGCCUGAUGGAGGGGGAUAACUUCUGGAAACGGUAGCUAAUACCGCAUACCAUCAGAUGUGCCCAGAUGGGAUGAGCUAGUAGGUGGGGUAAUGGCUCACCUGGGCGACGAUCCCUAGCUGGUCUGAGAGGCUGACCAGCCAAACUGGAACUGAGACACGGACCAGACUCCUACGGGAGGAAGCCGUGGGGAAUAUUGCACAAUGGGAGCAAGCCUGAUGCAGCCAUGCCGCGUGUGUGAAGAAGGCCUUAGGGUUGUAAAGCACUUUCAGCGGGGAGGCGUUACUCGCAGAAGAAGCACCGGCUAACUCCGUGCCAGCAGCCGCGGUAAUAC